rnacentral:rRNA from 1 species
AUUGAACGCUGGCGGCAGGCCUAACACAUGCAAGUCGAGCGGAUGAAGGGAGCUUGCUCCUGGAUUCAGCGGCGGACGGGUGAGUAAUGCCUAGGAAUCUGCCUGGUGGUGGGGGAUAACGUCCGGUAACGGGCGCUAAUACCGCAUACGUCCUGAGGGAGAAAGUGGGGAUCUUCGGACCUAACGCUAUUAGAUGAGCCUAGGUCGGAUUAGCUAGUUGGUGGGGUAAAGGCCUACCAAGGCGACGAUCCGUAACUGGUCUGAGAGGAUGAUCAGUCACACUGGAACUGAGACACGGUCCAGACUCCUACGGGAGGCAGCAGUGGGGAAUAUUGGACAAUGGGCGAAAGCCUGAUCCAGCCAUGCCGCGUGUGUGAAGAAGGUCUUCGGAUUGUAAAGCACUUUAAGUUGGGAGGAAGGGCAGUAAGUUAAUACCUUGCUGUUUUGACGUUACCAACAGAAUAAGCACCGGCUAACUUCGUG